UACCAGCACCCCGAGUGGUCGGGACGAUUAUUGGGCCUAAAGCAUCCGUAGCCGGUCCUGCAAGUCUUCCGUUAAAUCCAGCUGCUCAACAGAUGGGCUGCGGGAGAUACUACAGGGCUAGGAGGCGGGAGAGGCAAGCGGUACUUUAUGGGUAGGGGUAAAAUCCGCUGAUCCAUAGAAGACCACCAGUGGCGAAGGCGGCUUGCCAGAACGCGCUCGACGGUGAGGGAUGAAAGCUGGGGGGAGCAAACCGG
rnacentral:rRNA from 1 species